rnacentral:rRNA from 1 species
GAUGUCGGCUCGUCACAUCCUGGGGCUGGAGAAGGUCCCAAGGGUUCGGCUGUUCGCCGAUUAAAGUGGCACGCGAGCUGGGUUCAGAACGUCGCGAGACAGUUCGGUCCCUAUCUGUUAUGGGCGUUAGAAAUUUGCGAGGACCUGACUCUAGUACGAGAGGACCGAGUCGGACAUACCUCUAGUGUACCUGUUGUGGCGCCAGCCGCACCGCAGGGUAGCUACGUAUGGAUGAGAUAAGUGCUGAAAGCAUCUAAGUACGAAACUCACCUCAAGAUGAGAUUUCUUUUAAGGGUCGUUAAAGACGAUGACGUUGAUAGGCUACAGGUGUAAAGGCAGUAAUGUCAAAGCCGAGUAGUACUAAUUACCCGUAGAAUUUCUUUA